GACAGAGGUCCCGAGCGUUAGGCGGAAUCACUGGGCUUAAAGCGUGUGUAGGCGGAUUUGUAAGUACCUUGUGAAAUCCCACGGCUCAACCGUGGAACUGCUUGGUAUACUGCUUAUCUUGGGCCAUCUAGGGGCUACCGGAACAAGUGGUGGAGCGGUGAAAUGCGUAGAUAUCGGAAGGAACAUCAGUGGCGAAAGCGACUUCCUGGACCAAUACUGACGCUCAUGUGCGAAAGCGUGGGGAGCAAACAGG
rnacentral:rRNA from 1 species